rnacentral:rRNA from 1 species
UACGAAGGGGGCUAGCGUUGUUCGGAUUUACUGGGCGUAAAGCGCACGUAGGCGGAUCGAUCAGUCAGGGGUGAAAUCCCAGAGCUCAACUCUGGAACUGCCUUUGAUACUGUCGAUCUGGAGUAUGGAAGAGGUGAGUGGAAUUCCGAGUGUAGAGGUGAAAUUCGUAGAUAUUCGGAGGAACACCAGUGGCGAAGGCGGCAUCCUGGACCGAGAUUGACGCUGAUGCGCGAAAGCCAGGGGAGCAAACGGG